rnacentral:rRNA from 1 species
GAUGAACGCUGGCGGCGUGCCUAAUACAUGCAAGUCGAGCGAACAGACGAGGAGCUUGCUCCUCUGACGUUAGCGGCGGACGGGUGAGUAACACGUGGAUAACCUACCUAUAAGACUGGGAUAACUUCGGGAAACCGGAGCUAAUACCGGAUAAUAUAUUGAACCGCAUGGUUCAAUAGUGAAAGACGGUUUUGCUGUCACUUAUAGAUGGAUCCGCGCCGCAUUAGCUAGUUGGUAAGGUAACGGCUUACCAAGGCAACGAUGCGUAGCCGACCCGAGAGGGUGGUCGGCCACACUGGAACUGAGACACGGUCCAGACUCCUACGGGAGGCAGCAGUAGGGAAUCUUCCGCAAUGGGCGAAAGCCUGACGGAGCAACGCCGCGUGAGUGAUGAAGGUCUUCGGAUCGUAAAACUCUGUUAUUAGGGAAGAACAAAUGUGUAAGUAACUAUGCACGUCUUGACGGUACCUAAUCAGAAAGCCACGGCUAACUACGUG